AUGCUUGAUCUCAAUGAGUUGCCUCCAGAUCUCAAUGAGCUUCCUCAUGAUAUGGAUCAGCAGCAACCCAGCAUACAACAAGGAAACUGCACAGAAAAUGGUCGAUCUGUUUACUACACGCAGGCAAGUCGUGAUGGUAACCCUACGGGCCAUGACAAUGUGGCAGGCCAGUCAUCAGCCCGUGGUGCCCCUGUAGUGGUGUCUUUGCAGUCAGAGAGCCAUACUCUUGAUGACACAGGAACCGAGGCAAAUGUUCCUGGUCCAAGCAGGACUGAGCUGGAAGCUGGGGCUUUUGACAGAGCUGUGCAAGUAGAAGAAGGAGAGGAUGAGGUUGGUUCUCAACCUAUGGAACCCUAUGUUGGCAUGAGGUUUGACAGCCUUCAAAUUGCUAAGGAUCACUACAACAAUUACGCACUACGGAUGGGUUUCUCUAUCAAGAUGAACACCUCUAGACGGACACCCCGCACCAAUGAAUUGAUAAAACAACAGUUUUGCUGCAACAAGUUCAAGAAGCCCAACGUUGAUGAUGGAGGAGCUGAGGCUCCUCCUUACCUGGACCCUAUUCCAGAUCCAACAUCUGUUAACAGUGAUGAGGAGAUGGAAGAAGAACCUCCAAUAUUUGCUGAAGAGGAUGCUGGUACUAGUAAGAAGAAGAAGAAGCGCAAACGUGAGACAAUAAAGCAGACUGAAUGCAAGGCGAAAAUGUUGGUGAAGCUGAUAGAUGGGCGAUGGGAGGUGACGCACUUUGUUCGUGACCACAAUCAUCCGCUCGUGAACAAACCUUCAUUGUCCAAAUACUUGAGAUCCCACCAAGGCAUCUCACCUGAUGAAAAGGAGUUUCUGCGCAUCUUGUAUAACUGCAACUUGACUACAGACGAAUGA
rnacentral:rRNA from 1 species